UACGGGGGGGGCAAGCGUUGUUCGGAAUUACUGGGCGUAAAGGGCUCGUAGGCGGCCAACUAAGUCACACGUGAAAUCCCUCGGCUUAACCGGGGAACUGCGUCUGAUACUGGAUGGCUUGAGUUUGGGAGAGGGAUGCGGAAUUCCAGGUGUAGCGGUGAAAUGCGUAGAUAUCUGGAGGAACACCGGUGGCGAAGGCGGCAUCCUGGACCAACACUGACGCUGAGUGAGCGAAAGCCAGGGGAGCAAACGGG
rnacentral:rRNA from 1 species